rnacentral:rRNA from 1 species
AUUGAACGCUGGCGGCAGGCUUAACACAUGCAAGUCGAACGAGUGGCGGAAGGGUGAGUAAUGAUUGGGAAUCUAGGUGAUGGAGGGGGAUAACUACGGGAAACUGUAGCCAAUGCCGCGUACAAUAGGAUGAGCCCAAGUGGGAUUAGGUAGUGGGAGAGGUAAAGGCUCACCAAGCCGACGAUCUCUAGCUGGUCUGAGAUGAGGACCAGCCACACUGGGACUGAGACACGGCCCAGACUCCUACGGGAGGCAGCAGUGGGGAAUAUUGCGCAAUGGGUGCAACCUGAUGCAGCCAUGCCGCGUGAAUGAAGAAGGCCUUCGGGUUGUAAAGUUCUUUCGGUAGCGAAGCGUUAACUACAGAAGAAGCACCGGCUAACUCCGUGCCAGCAGCCGCGGUAAUUC